ACUGGACUUGGAGGCAGAAA
rnacentral:miRNA from 2 species